UGAAUACGAGACGCUACGGCGUCGAAGCAGUCUUUGUCAUACUUCCAAGAAAAGCUCGCAAUGUCAUAAACAAAUAAUGCCUGUACCAUAACCGACACAGGUGGGUAGGUAGAGUAUACUAAGGGGCGCGAGAUAACUCUCUCUAAGGAACUCGGCAAAAUGACUCCGUAACUUCGGGAGAAGGAGUGCCUUAUUUAUAAGGUUGCAAUAACAAGAUCCAAGCAACUGUUUAUCAAAAACACAGGUCUCCGCUAAGUCGUAAGACGAUGUAUGGGGGCUGACGCCUGCCCAGUGCCAGAAGGUUAAAGAAGUUGGUUAGCAUUCGCGAAGCUGAUAACUGAAGCCCUGGUGAACGGCGGCCGUAACAAUAACGGUCCUAAGGUAGCGAAAUUCCUUGUCGGGUAAGUUCCGACCCGCACGAAAGGCGUAAUGAUUUGGAUACUGUCUCGGAGAGGGGCUCGGUGAAAUAGACUUGUCUGUGAAGAUGCGGACUACCUGCACCUGGACAGAAAGACCCUAUGAAGCUUUACUGUAACUUGAAAUUGAAAUUGGACUUUAUUUGCGCAGCAUAGGUGGGAGGCGUUGAGAGUAUUCUUGCGGGAAUAUUGGAGCCAUCAGUGAGAUACCACUCUUGUAAUGUUAGAUUUCUAACUUUGUAUCAUUAUCUGGUCAAAGAACAGUUUCAGGCGGGCAGUUUGACUGGGGCGGUCGCCUCCCAAACGGUAACGGAGGCGUACAAAGGUUUCCUCUGAACGGGUAGAAAUCGUAUCUAGAGUGUAAAGGCAUAAGGAAGCUUGACUGUGAGACCUACAAGUCGAGCAGGGACGAAAGUCGGUCUUAGUGAUCUGACGGUGCUGAGUGGAAAGGCCGUCACUCAACGGAUAAAAGUUACUCUAGGAUAACAGGCUGAUCUCCCCCAAGAGUUCACAUCGACGGGGAGGUUUGGCACCUCGAUGUCGGCUCAUCGCAUCCUGGGGCGGUAGUACGUCCCAAGGGUUGGGCUGUUCGCCCAUGAAAGCGGUACGCGAGCUGGGUUCAGAACGUCGUGAGACAGUUCGGUCCAUAUCCGGUGUAGGCGUUAGAAUAUUGAGAGGAGCCUUCUUUAGUACGAGAGGACCGAGAAGGACAUACCUCUGGUGUACCAGUUAUCGUGCCAACGGUAAACGCUGGGUAGCUAUGUAUGGAGAGGAUAACCGCUGAAAGCAUCUAAGUGGGAAGCCCACCUCAAGAUAAGUAUUCUCAUA
rnacentral:rRNA from 1 species